rfam:Actinobacteria bacterium BACL2 MAG-121220-bin52 contig02478_1_121220-bin52, whole genome shotgun sequence.
CAUUGUUUCCGGGGUCGGUGUAAUUCCGAACCGGCAGUUAAAGUCUGCGACCCGCUUGCAUCCAGCUAGCGGUGGACUUGGUGAAACUCCAAGACCGACGGUUAAAGUCCGGAUAAGAGGAAACAAAA